AAAAACAAACGCCCCGUAAAUCGUGCUCUCACCGCCAAGAUUGAUCACGAAAUUACAGGGCGCCGGGUUCCGCGUUUCCCGAUGGGAAAGCGCGGUUAGUUAAACUGUGUACCGA
rnacentral:antisense_RNA from 1 species